rnacentral:tRNA from 1 species
GUGGGUGUAGCUCAGUGGUAGAGCACUUGCCUAACAUGUGCAAGAUCCUGGGUUUGAUCCCUAUCACCAUA